CCUACGGGUGGCAGCAGUGAGGAAUAUUGGUCAAUGGACGGAAGUCUGAACCAGCCAUGCCGCGUGCAGGAAGACGGUUCUAUGAGUUGUAAACUGCUUUUGUACAAGGGUAAACCUGAAUACGUGUAUUCAGCUGAAAGUACUGUACGAAUAAGGAUCGGCUAACUCCGUGCCAGCAGCCGCGGUAAUACGGAGGAUCCAAGCGUUAUCCGGAUUUAUUGGGUUUAAAGGGUGCGUAGGCGGAUUGAUAAGUUAGAGGUGAAAUGUUCGGGCUUAACUCGGGAACUGCCUUUAAUACUGUUGGUCUAGAGAGUAGAUGCGGUAGGCGGAAUGUAUGGUGUAGCGGUGAAAUGCUUAGAGAUCAUACAGAACACCGAUUGCGAAGGCAGCUUACCAAUCUAUAUCUGACGUUGAGGCACGAAAGCGUGGGGAGCAAACAGGAUUAGAUACCCCGGUAGUC
rnacentral:rRNA from 1 species